rnacentral:rRNA from 1 species
GACGAACGCUGGCGGCGUGCCUAAUACAUGCAAGUUGAGCGCUGAAGGUUGGUACUUGUACCAACUGGAUGAGCAGCGAACGGGUGAGUAACGCGUGGGGAAUCUGCCUUUGAGCGGGGGACAACAUUUGGAAACGAAUGCUAAUACCGCAUAAAAACUUUAAACACAAGUUUUAAGUUUGAAAGAUGCAAUUGCAUCACUCAAAGAUGAUCCCGCGUUGUAUUAGCUAGUUGGUGAGGUAAAGGCUCACCAAGGCGAUGAUACAUAGCCGACCAGAGAGGGUGAUCGGCCACAUUGGGACUGAGACACGGCCCAAACUCCUACGGGAGGCAGCAGUAGGGAAUCUUCGGCAAUGGACGAAAGUCUGACCGAGCAACGCCGCGUGAGCGAAGAAGGUUUUCGGAUCGUAAAACUCUGUUGAUAGAGAAGAACGUUGGUGAGAGUGGAAAGCUCAUCAAGUGACGGUAACUACCCAGAAAGGGACGGCUAACUACGUG